GAGCGAACGCUGGCGGCAGGCCUAACACAUGCAAGUCGAACGGGCGUAGCAAUACGUCAGUGGCAGACGGGAGAGUAACACGUGGGAACGUGCCCUUUGGUUCGGAACAACCCAGGAAAACUUGGGCUAAUACCGGAUAAGUCCGCAAGGAGAAAGAUUUAUCGCCAAAGGAUCCGCCCGCGUCUGAUUAGCUUGUUGGUGAGGUAACGGCUCGCCAAGGCGACGAUCAGUAGCUGGUCUGAGAGGAUGAUCAGCCUCACUGGGACUGAGACACGGCCCAGACUCCUACGGGAGGCAGCAGUGGGGAAUAUUGGACAAUGGGCGCAAGCCUGGUCCAGCCAUGCCGCGUGGGUGAUGAAAGCCUUANGGUUGUAAAGCCCUUUCGGCGGGGAAGAUAAUGACGGUACCCGCAGAAGAAACCCCGGCUAACUUCGUGCCAGCAGCCGCGGUAAUACGAAGGGGGUUAGCGUUGCUCGGAAUCACUGGGCGUAUAGCGCACGUAAGCGGAUUGCUAA
rnacentral:rRNA from 1 species